rnacentral:lncRNA from 12 species
GAAAGGGGGGACAGGAAGGAGAGGGGGAGAAGCUGCAGUGGGAGCUGGGGGUGCCCUGGAGAGAGGGGCAGCGGGGAGAGGAGAGGCACUGGCAGCAGGACACAGCAAGGGGUCCCUCAGCACACAGAGGGCGGAGGGAGGAGUGGAUGUCAGAAACUGGGAAAAGAUUACAAAGAAAGAGAGAUGGAGGGGAAUGAAGGCCAAAAAAGGCAGAAAAAGAUGGACCUGGGGAACAGAGUCUGUGAAAGUUUAGAGCAGCACAGAAAGGUGUGUGAGGCAGAAGAAAAAGGAAGACAAAUCUUGAAAUGUUAACCUCUCAGCAUGAGGCUGAAGAAUGACUGCUCAAAGGGAAGCAGGUUCUCAUGAGGACCCAAAGAGAU